AAAGAUUAAGCCAUGCAUGUCUAAGUAUAAGCAACUAUACUGUGAAACUGCGAAUGGCUCAUUACACCAGUUAUCGUUUAUUUGAUAGUACCUUUACCUGGAUAACCGUGGUAAUUCUAGAGCUAAUACAUGCUAAAAACCCCGACUUUGAAGGGGUGUAUUUAUUAGAUAAAAAACCAAUGCCCUUUGGGCUCCUUGGUGAUUCAUAAUAACUUAACGAAUCGCAUGGCCUUGCGCCGGCGAUGGUUCAUUCAAAUUUCUGCCCUAUCAACUUUCGAUGGUAGGAUAGUGGCCUACCAUGGUCU
rnacentral:rRNA from 2 species